UACAGAGGGUGCAAGCGUUAAUCGGAAUGACUGGGCGUAAAGGGUGCGUAGGUGGUUGUUUAAGUGAGAUGUGAAAUACCUGGGCUUAACCUGGGAACGGCAUUUGAUACUGGACGACUAGAGUAUGGGAGAGGUAAGUGGAAUUUCCGGUGUAGCGGUGAAAUGCGUAGAUAUCGGAAGGAACACCAGUGGCGAAGGCGGCUUACUGGCCUAAUACUGACACUGAGGCACGAAAGCGUGGGGAGCAAACAGG
rnacentral:rRNA from 1 species